CGUAAGACUGCGAUGGGAAAGAGUAGAGACUGGAAACUUUCAGAGAGGGUGGUUGACCCGCUGUGAGGCCGCCUAAGUGAAAUGUCUCGAACGUCGUCCCGGAGUCGUUGCCCUGAACCUUCCUGUCUGUGGCAGGAUCACUAAGGGUGACCGGUGAAUCCGUUAUCUUCAUUGGAGUGCGCCUCGACCACAGAGCGGGGCGAACCAAGGUGGUACCGCGGAAGAAACGUCUCUUCCGUCCUUGUU
rnacentral:ncRNA from 1 species